CCUGAAUUGGUUGGUCUAGUGCCCACCCCAUUACACAAAGGAACAGUCAUUUGUCUACUGAUGCGGUGAAGAGGUCACUGGAAAGCAAUAGCCAGCUGAAGGCCACACAUCCUGUGUAGGCAGACAUUAGACAUUGCCUGUUUAAAUUUGGGAUGGUUUUUCCCCUUUGAUUGGUAAUUAUACUAAGGAAAUGCAUGGUGACUUUAUAGCCUGGAGGUGGUUGAAAAAGCCAGAUAUUUGGCAAAACCGGAUGAAGUGGUGCUUGAUGUGUCCUUUUACGAUGGAAAACCUGUAGAAAUGAUCCAACUAAAUGGCCAGAAGUGACUUACCCUGGCAUCUACUCUUAAUUAAAUCUCUGGGUAAGUUAUCCUAAUUGCAUCCCUGUAGUUUCAACAUUCUCUAAGCUGCUUUACUUUGUUUGCCUUAAAACCAAAUUAAAAUAUCAUAUUACCAUAAUAUAAUAAUUUAGGCAGAGGCUAAUGUAAACAGAGAGACAGACCACGUGAUGUAACAUUAAUAAUUUACUGUAGCUAGCUAUUUCACUGUAGUUUACUGUAACAAUCUAUCUAGCUAAUGUUAGCUAGCCCUUUUAGGAGGAGCAUUGCUAUUCCUUAAGUGCCAAAAACUUGGUAAGUUUAUAGCUGAACAAAUGUGUAGCACUAUAGUUUCAUCAUUAAGACUUAAGACUCUUAAUGCUAUUUUUUUUUUUUUACUGUUGUCAUGGACCUACACAUCCUCUUCAAUGAAAAGUUACAGGUCUUUUGUUAGCAGGUUGUUUAACAUCGUGAAACUACAGUUGCUGAGUUAAAGUGAAGCUGUCCUGGAAAGUAUCAGACACACCCCAUCUCCUAUUUGCUUGUCGUGAAGGGUAAAAUAGCAAUUGCUACUGCCUAUUGCAACUGCAUUCCAGGCUGUGUAAUACACAGGGCAACAGAAAAUAAAUUGUGUGCAGGUUAAUAUUUGACUCAUCCGUUGUCAUCAAAAUAUACAGUCAGAAGAACCAACAGGUACAGAAGCUUUGGACAGUCUAGGGCAAACAUCAUGACCAGGAUGCAAGUGACACCAACGUUGCGAUCGAAGCUUGGGCCGUGCAAAUGUGAACACUUCAAAACACAUCUACGUGGAUCAAAAAUGUCAAUCUCACAUCAACUCAGAACAAAAACAGCAAAAACAGGAAUCAGGAACAUCCCAAAAUCAUGCCAUUUGUGGAAGCGUUUUUACGAUGGAUGUGUCCUGUGAUUGUUGUGGACAACGAGUUCUGGAGGCCAGAUUACCCUACAAUUGGGGACAAGCCCCAGACUGGACAGUUCAACUGUGGUUGCAGGACAGCAAGGGGCACCUAGAAAGUGGCACACCUCUCCAUUCUUUCAACACACAGGUGAAGAUGCAGAUUAUUUUUUCGCAAGGCGGCAUUGGGAUUUCAUCACCGGGAAUCUACGAAACUGCGUGAUCUUCAAAGUCAACAAAGAUUAUGAUUUCAUCGGUCAUUCUAUCAAGAUAAUGACUGUCUUAUGGGCUAGGCACAUUUUCCCCGGAUUGACAAAGACACAGGGAUGUACAGGUGAGUGCUACAAAGGUAUAAUUUAAUUUAAAUUACAAUUAUUUGAUCAAGACUUGGAAAAUAACGUGCCAAAAUAAAACCCUACGUACAUCAAGUAGUCAAACAUUGCAGAGAAUCAAUAAAUUAUUUUUAAAAAAAAGAAUAUGUGUGCGUUUGUUUCAAAACAUUGUCAGGGCCUGACUCCAACCCCAGUGGUGAUGAAAAUACAGGAAGCAUGACAGGCCACAGUAUUGCAGGCAUCAGGGCCGCAGUGGCAAGGAACAUCCACAACAGUCCAGGAAGUAGCAGUGCAGUGAAACAGUACUGUAACUGACAAGGGCUGCCAGAAAUGGGAAAUCUUUAGACUAACAAGAUUUGCCAGUUACAGCAUUGCACUUGCAGUCUGAUAACAUAUGAUAGUAAACGCCUCAUAUUGAUGAAAAUGGCGUUUCAGGGCGACAAAUAUCUGGUUUUCUAUUGAAAGAUGGGGAAGUGAUCAGUGGUCUUCACAAAUGGUUCCAUAAACUAAAUUAAAGCUACAGGCAAACUAAGACUUGUGGUGGGGGAAUCACUUUUGGUCUGGCCAUCACUUCUGGCUGGUGUUCAUGUUGGGGAAUUUCUUCUGGUUGGUAAUAUUGGAUCUUGGGGCUUCCCUCUGGUGGUCCCCCUUCUGGUGGCCAUUUUUUAGGACAGUGUUUGCAUUUUUAUCUUAUUAUUUAUCUUUUAUUGUUGUAACACUGGACAAUGGAGGGACUAAGCUGGGUUAAUGCAACACAUUGCUCUUAGAUCAUGCAACAUAAAACAAUGUAGCUAACAAUACAAUACAGACAUGUGCAGUUAACAUUACUGAUAAACAAUGGUCUAGAUUCCAAUCUGCUAGCUACUUAAUUUUUUUUGUCAUAUGCCUUCACACAUUUAAAUAUACUAGCUAAACCAAACGUUAGCAUCUCCAUUUGGCUCAAUGGCAUAAUGUAGCUACUCUAAGUGCUACUGUAGCUGUAUGAGUGCUGAGUGACACUGCAGUCUUAAAAACUGAACAGUUAGAAACUAAGUUUGUAAGUUGAAAUCUAGUUUAUCAUGUACUAAAUAUAUCUAAUAUCUAAAUAUUGUGUUACUGAACAUGACCUGUUUUUAAAUGUUUACCUAUACACACUUGCUGCAGGGACCCCAGAUAAUGUCUAAAAGUGGGAGUCUAGUGGCAACAUUUGCCCCCACAUUGGAUGUGGCUUUCAGCAUUCUAUUUUGUUUCAAUAAACUCUUUACUGUAUCUUUUAAAAAAGAUGUGACAAGAUCCAUCCUACUUGGCAGAAAAAAAGAACAUGUAAAAUUGGGCAGCAAAAUGUCAAGACUGUUCAAGCGUUAUGUAGACUUAAACUGUCACCUAUAACAUUAUUGCUUGAAUACCACAAAGUGUAACAAGACAUUUGGAACUCAAUUCCAAUUCACUCCACUUCUAGCCCAGUUUGUAAAAGCAUAGUGUUUCGAACACCAGUGUGGUGUGUUCUGUUCCUGCAGGGGUCAAGUAAGAAAAAGUAUGAAAAUAUAAACACUAACUACUGUAAGUCACUCUGUCUCAGAGUGCCUGCUACAUUCAAUGUAAUUUGUGACAAGAACGUAUUGAGCUAGUUUUCUUCUGUAGUGAAUGUCACUUCUGAACAUGGCCCUCAUGUGCAACAUAACAUUGCAAUAUUGUGAUUAGAGGCGGUUUUCUUUUUUGGAAGGCUUUCAUGUUACCUCGGAAGGUGCAACAACUGAGACAUCCACAAGUUCAUACUAUAAAAUUGUUUUCAGAUAAUACUAAUCUUGUAAAAAAAAGUGUUAAUCUCAAUUAAUGUCCUAUAGUGUGAAUAAACCAUAGCGCUCUCUUCCAGACAUCAAUGCAACCAUUAUUUAUUUUAUUUACCAUUUAUUUAACCAUGAAAUCCUUCGAGACCCAGAGUCUCUUUUAUAAAUGAGUCACUUGACAAUGAAUCAACAUGUUUAGCACCAUGGAUAAACAAUUCCACGUGUAGGUGCUUUUAUUUAAUCAGGAAGACUUUUGAGUCCCAGAGUCUUUUUUGCAAAUGAGACCCUUUUUUGACAAAGAAUCAAAAACAGAUCAUGAAACCAGAAAAUGAACUAGUCUAGCCUAGUACAGCCGGCCCGCCAUUAGAAGUGAUGAAUGUUGUUGCCCUCACUAGAUUGGAACCCGGCCAUGUGAGAGGCGGUUUCUUUAACCACUACACCACGGGGCUAUUUGUUUGCCCUGUGUCGGUAUAGCACCUCAACAUUUGGCCAUUUUGUCACACAUUAACAUCAAGCAAAGUUUGAAUAUUUCACUAGACACCAUUAAGCAUUGUGUUAAACUGACUAUCGUUUCUUACUAAGUUUACCUCCACCACAUAGCAUCUGUGAAAUGUCUUUUGCCACUGGCUGUUUUAACAGCUUAUUACCCAGUAAUAGGCUUACUAGUAUCUACUAACUUACUAAUUGGAAUAGUCAUAAGAACUGAGCAAUUUCUAACGAGACUGAAUAUGAACUUUACAAUGCCGAAGCUAUUUCAUGGCACAAAAACCUUUUCUUUCAUUCGGGAAUGACAUUGAUACAAUAACUAUGAAUAUAGGUGACGAUAACUGACUUUUCCGUCAAGUGAAAUGAUGAGAGAAUCAUGGAAACACCAGCUCUUUUACUGCCCAAGGGGUUGUGAUCUAGCCUUUAUUACCCCCAAAAUAAUGCAUGGAUGCAUACUUCGAAAAUCCACCAGAAAUAGUCGCAAUAUAAAUCGUUUUACAAUAACAUAGCUACUGAAGGUUGUAGCCAGCAAAGCUUUUGUCUAUCCUGACCCAAAAACCAUGCAUGGAUGCGUACUUCGAAAAUCCACCAGAAAUAGUCGCAAUAUAAAUAGUUUUACAAUAACAUAGCUACUGAAGGUUGUAGCCAGCAAAGCUUUUGUCUAUCCUGACCCAAAAACCAUGCAUGGAUGCGUACUUUGAAAAUCCAACAGAAAUACCUGGACCAAAUCCUAAUGCAUAAUUUGCUUUGACUAUGACGAGAUUUAAAUGCGGGACCUAUUGGUUGGAGGUCCGCAUCUCAAACCACUACACUAUUUAACAAGGGGUAGUCUGUCUGUCACUCACUCAGUAAGAGACAGUCUCUCUUCUUGGCUGGCUCCGCUUACAUGGUCCGGCAAAAAUAUUGCAUUUGUUUAGCAUUAGGGAUGAACAUUUCCAACUGUAAGUGCUUUUUGGGUUAAAGGCUUUCAGAAUUUUCAUUAGACAUGGACAGUUAUAAGACUUUUUUCCGGGAUAGUGAACAAAGAAAAUUGCUCCAAGAACAGGUAGUUCAAAAAUGGCUUUAGUACACUUUACAGUAGUCAAUUUGUAAUGGUAGCCAUCACAUAUUACCAGCCCUAACUUGUCUGGCCUCAUACUCAAAUCACUUAUCAAAGGCCCAGUGCAAUUAAAGACGUGAUUUCCUGUUUUUCUUGGUACAAGAGAUUUUGGCAUCUCCUUGUUGGCUAUGUAGUAGGGACAGUGCAAAAUGUUCACAGAACUUUUAUAUCAACAGACAAGUAUUGCUCAAAAAACCAAAUGUACAGCUAGUAUCUAUUGCUCUGUUGACAAGCAGAGCAAAUAUGUAAAACUUGCAGAGUCAAACAUGGGUUUAGCUCACGGCAUCAACAAUGGAAUAUUGAUCGCAACUCUACAGAAGAAAACAUGAUAAUGACAGUUAUAAGAUGGUCCCCUAGGUUGACAGAAAACAUAAGUAGUUGAUAUGUUGAUUUCAGCUGCCACUGUGCUGACACCUCCCCUUCCCCCGUGAUGUCCCUUUGCUUGUCCGUCUGGUCAUGCUUCCGACCUGGACUAAGUUUUAAUAGACUCUAGAUUCAGCCCACACGCAUUUAUUAAUGAUUAUUAUUAUGACAUCUGCUGAUGUAAAAAGGGCUUUAUAAAUACAUUUGAUUGAUUGAUUGAUCAAUUGAUUGAAGUAGAUAAAUAGCUUGAACAAUAAAGUCAACUAGGGAUUCUGAUAAACACAAGUUGUGUAGAAAAAGAGAGACAUGUCUCACCUAACCAGAAGUAUUCAUAAACAUAUGAAGAUUAUUAAAAGACUACUCUAACAAUCCCUCAUAGAAGAUUGUUGCCGGCAAAAUUGCCUUGCUAAAUAUUUUCAUCACAAAUGUUGUUUCAGCUGUGGUUAGCAAUGACAACAAAGUUACAUUUCUAAUUAUUGUAUAGUUUCAAGCCGAUGGCCAACUGUACAUACGCUUGCCAACAAAGGUCCGCAGACCACUGCAGCAGUGCAGAUGGGAGACCAAUACCAUUGCUAACUGAGAUGGCUAUAGCUAAACAACUUCCACUGACCACCGAAUAUAGCUAAUAGCUAUAGUCGGUGGAAUGUAGUCUAAUGUAGCUGAAAUGUGGUCUAAUGAGAAAUAUGGGAGUACAGAUCUUGCAUUACAUAGGUAAAAUAAGCUGCAAAAUACAGCAUCUUUAAAAUUAUUAAUUUAAUUAAUUAGCAAUUACCUUGCAUUAGAAAACAGUCCAGCGUGCACUCUAAGGGGUCUUUCAGUGAUUGUACGGUCACAAUUCCAAAGCCCAAAAUUCCAAAACAGUCCUUGUUCUCUAAUUCUUUGGUUUGUUCUACCCAAACCUUGACUGUGCAUUUUUUCAACAGUUGUCCAGCCCAGUCUAGCUGUAUCCUAAGUUAGUUUGCUAACAGCUUUGCUAAUCGCAGGCUUAGUUGUGCAAAGUAAUCCCAAAGUGUACAGCCAUUCUUUAUUCCAUUCAAGUAAAAAUCAUACUUUUCCAUGAACUGAACAUAUUUUUUUUCUCUGUAAUAUGAUGCUGCAGUUUGUUUGAUGCAAAUGUAAAGUUGAUGUUGUUCAACCUCUCUUCAUCUAGCCCUGUAGUAUCACCAUGAUGACAGCGAUUGCGUGAAUAUAUUGCUUGCUCUUUGGCGCCAUCUAGGCAAUACCUGAUAUAGCGCUACCAUCAUGAAGACAGAGACCCAGCUAUUAAUUUCAACGCCGAAAUUUAGUUAAAACUGCGCUUUAUAAGUAGUGUGAUGAAAUACCUACUAGAUCAUUGGUGUAACCCUCCUCCACAGACAUGGAAUUGAUAUGCAAUUGAAGUGCCGGCGUUCUGCCCAACUCCCAGAGCUUCUGUGAGACAUAUUAGAUUACUGAAAAUCUUGUUUUUAACAUUGAAAUGUAAACACAAUGACCACGUAUCAGAAUUUGUAACAUACAUAAUAUAAGAAAAAAUACAAACAAAAUAUUAUUUUAUUUUUUGUACAAUCAUAUGUGGGACUGCUCCCCAAACCCUAAUGGGGAGGCCACCACUGGUUAAUAGUACAAAAUAAUGUCUUUCAUUAUAAGUGCCUGUAAUGUUUGCCGGUUCAUGUCAGAAUGACUGACAAAAAGUAGAAUCAAGAUUCAGGUUUGGGGUGUGGUAUAUGACCAAUAAACUAUGGCUUACAAUGCACUGCAGAGUGCCUGGAUACAACACUUAGCCGUGGCAAACAGUUUCAGUUUUCAGCCAGGCAGCAUUCAGGAUUUGAACCUACUGGUUUCUAAUAUUAAUGAUAUAUUACUAUUAUGUAUAUAGGUAAUUAAACCAACUUGAACAUUAACCUCUAUAUCCUAUUUUUGUGGAGUUAUCUUGUCCAGUCUAUACUAAUAAUUUGGGAAAUUCCAAGUAUAGAUCAAGGCUAUGUUUCAAAAGAUCUUCCAAUUUGUUUCCUAUCACCCACAUUAUCCAAAUUAAUAUUUUUGGGCCAGGAUUGGCUCAGGUAAAUAAAUUAUAGCACAGUUUUUUUUGUUAUUCAAUAAGCACACAGUGAUUUAUUGGACAUACAGUACAGCCAUUCUUAAACACAAUUACAAAGACUGCAUGGGGCUCUAAGAACAUACUUUUGUCCAAGGAUAUUUUCCUCUGUAUGCCUGACAAAAAUGCUUUCUACAAACUCAUUAUUCAAAGGAAAACCAUGAAUAAUGAGGUCAAACUCCUUUACAAUGGGUUUAAAGCUAGCUAAUUGAUUUCAUGAAAGCUAAAUGGCUUUCCUUGUGCUCUUAAAAUAUUGUGUGUAGUUCACCUUUGUGCAAAAUGUAUUUGUAUUAGCGUCUGACCAAUUCAUACGUUAUGAAGAGAAAUCUGGUCAUUUGAUCGGACAAGAUACAGAGAGAAUAUAUAUAUAUACAUAAAAUAAUCGUUAACUUCUAUUUUACUUUAUAAACAAGCAGGCUAUUCUAAAUACACAUGGCCUAGAUUUUAAUUUUGUCAUUUCAAACACUUUGUGCUUCAUGUAAAGCCAUACAGUAUGAUAUCGAGUUUUGUACUCAACCUGAAAACAUUUCUAGAAUGAAUUUCAGUUGCACAUGUGAGUAAUAAGAUGAACCUAACAUAGCAAAUACUAAGGCUAUGUACUGUUAACUUUAUUUUGCACAAUAAAACAAUGCUUCGGCCCCAGCCUGUUCCCAAUAUCCUAAGUAUUUGUGUACUUCUAGCAUGCAUAUCAAUAUAUAAAGUAUCAACAGUCAACGUUUCAUGAAUAUGUAAUAAAGUCUUAAAUAUUACUCAUUUGACAUUUGUAUAUACACACUCUCAAAAUGACAAUAUAUGUAUAUAACGUGUCUUCUAAGAACAGAAAAACGCUUAAAAUGAAAAUGUUCCCGUGGAUUUAUAUGGAUUGUUUGGUGAAAAUGUGUACAGCUUGUGCUUUUGGGUGACUUCAUACACCAUCUGUAUCAAAUGUGAAGCAAUUAGUCCUUUUGUAAGAAUACAGUAUCUAAGGCAACCCUCUGCUUUGUCUGGGCACUCAAUGUUUAGAAAUGUAGAAAGCUUUCUAGUGUGCAUAUUGGCAUUCAUUGAACAAAAAUUGCAACUAUUUGUCAUGAAGUGUACAGUUUGUGAUAACUUUUUGUAACAAUUUGCAGUAAACACUUGAAAUAUAAUUUUACUGUAUCUGUUUCCUAUGUAUUUUAAAUAAAU
ensembl:lncRNA